rnacentral:rRNA from 1 species
GACGCACGCUGGCGGCGUGCCUAAUACAUGCAAGUCGAGCGGAUCUUAAUUAGCUUGCUUUUGAAGAUCAGCGGCGGACGGGUGAGUAACACGUGGGCAACCUGCCUGUAAGACUGGGAUAACUUCGGGAAACCGGAGCUAAUACCGGAUAAUCCUUUUCCUCUCAUGGGGAAAAGCUGAAAGACGGUUUCGGAUGUCACUUACAGAUGGACCCGCGGCGCAUUAGCUGGUUGGUGAGGUAACGGCACACCAAGGCGACGAUGCGUAGCCGACCUGAGCGGGUGAUCGGCCACACUGGGACUGGGACACGGACCAGACUCCGACGGGAGGCAGCAGUAGGGAAUCUUCCGCAAUGGACGAAAGUCUGACGGAGCAACGCCGCGUGAGCGAUGAAGGCCUUCGGGUCGUAAAGCUCUGUUGUCAGGGAAGAACAAGUACCGGAGUAACUGCCGGUAACUUGACGGUACCUGACCAGACAGCCACGGCUAACUACGUGCCAGCAGCCGCCGUAAAAC